rnacentral:miRNA from 1 species
UGACAUAACUUGGAACUCUAAA